rnacentral:lncRNA from 1 species
CUAAAAUCCAUCUCAUAAACACCUUUCUGUAUAUUCUUAUAAUUGAUGGAGGCCUUGAUUCAUCAGGCAACUCAAGUGCAUAAUGAACUUUAGGCACAUGCAGACUGCUUUUGAAUCAAUGGGGUAAUUCAUGUGCUCAAAUUUAGGCACAUGUUUCAUUACCUGGCUGAACCAUGGCCCAAAGCCAUUCACUUAAUGUUAGGGCUGUUUUAUUUUAUAAAUAGCAUUAUUAACAUCCUGCCUUUUCUAUUUGUAUGCAAAAUAUAAUGUACAUAUUUUGCAUAGCUGAAGCUAACUAUAAGGUCAUAAUGGUGCACUAAACAGGCAAAAAGUGUUAAAUAACUUGGGUUUAGUGAGGGGUUCUGAGAGUGAUUAUUAAACGAUUGAUUGAUUGGCAGAUUGGUCUAACAGAGUAGCAGUGAGAUGAUUUGAUAGCCCAGUUUCAUUACAAAUAGUGCUCUUACCCACCUUUAGCCUUGCCUUUAACACACUCAAACACACACCGUUUUUAUGAGGUGGACUUUGAACUAUCUUUCAGUAGUUAUUCAGAAAGGCACAAUGCAUGUAUUAUGUGACUAUUCAUUGCAGCGAAGUUAGCACAUAAUAAUUUACAAUUUUAUGGAACUGCUAGGAUUAGCUAUGUAUCAUCUAUUUUUAAUACACAUCAUUGUGGAAUGUGAGCAAUAAUGAAUGUAUUUAAAUAAAUCAAAAAAGCCAAAUGAAUGCUGAGUUGUUGUCAAUCACUUGCAGAUGAGCCUACCCUGGUGAAAAGAUAUAAUAGAGGUAUUUCUGAUGAUGAUUUAUGGAGUCAACCAGCAUCAUUCUAGAACAACUGACACUUUUCCAGCACAGGGCUAUACAGGGCUCAGCAGGCAGCUGAAGGAAGAUUGGGCUAAAGGACAACUGUGUAUCCUGCAGUCUGUAUACAGAUUUGAAAUCUGCUUUGGACAUCUGCAGCACACAGUUUGGCAGAUCUUGGGACUUUGCCUUGUGGCAGAAAAUGCCAAAAAGGAAUGCAAGAUUAAUUCUACUCAUGGCUGCCGCAGCACCUUAAUCUGUGUGUGUCUGGGUGAAGAAUACUGUGUUCAACUUCCCUUUCCUGGAUGUUGCACUGUGUUGAUCACUGCCCUGCCUCUGCAAAUCCUAUUUGAAAAUCUCAUUUGCAGCAUAACUGACAACAAAGGCGUUACAUGGUGUAUGCCCUGCAUAUUCUGCAGACUACUCCUUGUCUUUUUUCAUAUGCAAAGCAUGCAUCAGCCACAUCCAUGCUAUCUCCUAAAGCAGCCAUUCUGAAACCCAAUCUGGGGACAGUGCAGACUAAAUAAAAUUUCAUUUUGAUUUGGCCUCCCGCUGAGA